rnacentral:lncRNA from 1 species
ACUCAAAAUCUUGCAAAAAACCCCAAAAAACCCAGGAAAAAUCAACCCCGAAAUAAUUUAAAUUAAUAAUUCCAAAUUUCACCAUUGGAAAAAAGUGAAUUCCAGAGAAAAUCCCUCAUUAAUCCAUCACCACGACAAAGGAGAUCAAAUUUGGGAGAUAAAUUCUUCCUUUUUUUCCUCCCCACUUUGGGGGAAAAUACCCAAUUUUUAGGGAUUUGGGAAUAAAACUUCCAAAUUUGGGGCAUGAUCGCAGCUCAGCUGGAGUAUUUUUGGGAUGGAUUCCUCGGGAUGGAUUCCUCAGGAUGGAUUCCAUGGGAUGGAUUGUCAGGAUUCCUCGGGAUGGAUUCCAUGGGAUGGAUUCCUCAGGAUGGAUUCCUCAGGAUGGAUUAUCAGGAUUCCUCGGGAUGGAUUCCUCGGGAUGGAUUCCUCAGGUUGGAUUCCUUGGGAUGGAUUGUCAGCAUUCCUCGGGAUGGAUUCCAUGGGAUGGAUUCCUCAGGAUGGAUUCCAUGGGAUGGAUUCCAUGGGAUGGAUUCCUCGGGAUGGAUUGUCAGGAUUCCUCAGGAUGGAUUCCUCGGGAUGGAUUCCUCAGGAUGGAUUCCAUGGGAUGGAUUCCUUGGGAUGGAUUCCUCUGGAUUCCUCAGGAUGGAUUCCUUGGGAUGGAUUGUCAGCAUUCCUCGGGAUGGAUUCCAUGGGAUGGAUUCCUCAGGAUGGAUUCCCUGGGAUUCCUCAGGAUGGAUUCCUCAGGAUGGAUUGUCAGGAUUCCUUGGGAUGGAUUCCUUGGGAUGGAUUCCUCGGGAAGGAUUAUCAGGAUUCCUCGGGAUGGAUUCCUCGGGACGGAUUCCUCAGGAUGGAUUCCUCAGGAUGGAUUAUCAGGAUUCCUCGGGAUGGAUUCCUCGGGAUGGAUUCCUCGGGAUGGAUCCCUCGGGAUGGAUUAUCAGGAUUCCUCAGGACGGAUUCCUCAGGAUGGAUUCCUCAGGAUGGAUUCCUCAGGAUGGAUUCCUUGGGAAGGAUUAUCAGGAUUCCUCGGGAUGGAUCCCUCGGGAGGGAUUCCUCGGGAGAAGCGCUCAGCACUGCUCGGCCUCCACAAUUCCCUCUUUCUCCUGGCUGGCCGCCUCCACCUCGGCGUAGGAGCUGCGGCGGCCGCGGCUCCGGAAUUUCAUGGCGGG